GAUGAAGAACGCAGCGAAAUGCGAUACGUAAUGUGAAUUGCAGAAUUCAGUGAAUCAUCGAGUCUUUGAACGCACAUUGCGCCCCCUGGUAUUCCGGGGGGCAUGCCUGUCCGAGCGUCAUUGCUGCCCUCAAGCACGGCUUGUGUGUUGGGUCUCCGUCCUCCUCCCGGGGGACGGGCCCGAAAGGCAGCGGCGGCACCGCGUCCGGUCCUCGAGCGUAUGGGGCUUCGUCACCCGCUCUUGUAGGCCUGGCCGGCGCUUGCCGACACAUCAAUCUUUUUUCCAGGUUGACCUCGGAUCAGGUAGGGAUACCCGCUGAACUUAAGCAUAUCAAUAAGCGGAGGA
rnacentral:misc_RNA from 1 species